AUACAUGCAAGUCGAACGCGUCUCCGUUAAUGAUUUUAGGUGCUUGCACUUGAAAGAUUUAACAUUGAGACGAGUGGCGAACUGGUGAGUAACACGUGGGUAACCUGCCCUUGAAGUAGGGGAUAACACUUGGAAACAGGUGCUAAUACCGUAUAACAACCAAAACCACCUGGUUUUGGUUUAAAAGACGGCUUCGGCUGUCACUUUAGGAUGGACCCGCGGCGUAUUAGCUUGUUGGUAAGGUAACGGCUUACCAAGGCGAUGAUACGUAGCCGACCUGAGAGGGUAAUCGGCCACAUUGGGACUGAGACACGGCCCAAACUCCUACGGGAGGCAGCAGUAGGGAAUCUUCCACAAUGGACGAAAGUCUGAUGGAGCAACGCCGCGUGAGUGAUGAAGGGUUUCGGCUCGUAAAACUCUGUUGUUGGAGAAGAACAGGUGUCAGAGUAACUGUUGACAUCUUGACGGUAUCCAACCAGAAAGCCACGGCUAACUACGUGCCAGCAGCCGCGGUAAUACGUAGGUGGCAAGCGUUGUCCGGAUUUAUUGGGCGUAAAGCGAGCGCAGGCGGUUUUUUAGGUCUGAUGUGAAAGCCUUCGGCUUAACCGGAGAAGUGCAUCGGAAACCGGGAGACUUGAGUGCAGAAGAGGACAGUGGAACUCCAUGUGUAGCGGUGAAAUGCGUAGAUAUAUGGAAGAACACCAGUGGCGAAGGCGGCUGUCUGGUCUGUAACUGACGCUGAGGCUCG
rnacentral:rRNA from 1 species